UUUCCCCCACACCCUUCUGUCUGCGCCUCCCCUGCCUCAGUUUCUCCCUGCGCGGAACGGGGGGCGCAGAGACGCAUGAUGAGCAGUCUGCGCGGCGGAGCGCAGCAGGAGCCCUCGCUUUAGCGCUGCCCGCCGCCGCGGCUCGCGCUUCUGCCCCACCUCGCUCCCCUUCUCGGCCGUCUCACUGCCCAAGCUGGAAUGGCUCUGUGAGUGCCCCGCAGUGUGGAGGAGACCAGUGCUGAGUUCACACUUCUCAUCCCAGUGCUGAAGAUAGCAGGAGUUCGGAGGCCUUGCAAAGCUCUUGUGUUCACUAAAUAGUUUUCUGAAUUUGGGCAAAAUGGUCACUUUUUUUCUUUUUCUUUCUUUUUUUUAUUCAUGUGCAUUUAUAUUUGCAUUCACUGUCCUUUGUACAUUUUAAGAAUGGUGCGAAAGAAUUGGUCCUGGUGUAGAUCUGGGAUUCACUGAGUAUGUUGUUGCUGUGUACGUAUUAAAUCCCAUUAAAUCCU